AACGUAGGAGGCAAGCGUUAUCCGGAUUUACUGGGUGUAAAGCGCGUGCAGGCGGUCAUGCAAGUCGCGUGUGAAAGCGCCCGGCUCAACCGGGCGAGGCCGCGCGAAACUGCGUUGACUGGAGGCCGGUAGAGGCGUGUGGAAUUCCGGGUGUAGUGGUGAAAUGCGUAGAGAUCCGGAGGAACACCAGUGGCGAAGGCGACACGCUGGACCGAGCCUGACGCUCAGACGCGACAGCAUGGGGAGCGAACGGG
rnacentral:rRNA from 1 species